rnacentral:misc_RNA from 1 species
AAACAAUUAAAAAUUGCUUUUUAUGGUUUUCUCUUGUUUUAGGAAUCUGUUUUUCGCUUUAAGACAUUAAGUAACAAAAACAAACAUAUUUUUACAAUAUAUUUUUAAGUAUUGAAUAAAAGGAAAAAAGAGAGCAUCGAUGCCAUUUUCCUUUUCUGUUUUCUUUUCAUACAAAAAGUUCUGUGUAAAUUACUUCUCAGUUCUCACCAUAAAAAUCCUAAGG